rnacentral:lncRNA from 1 species
CCUUGAGCUACUUUACAAUCUAGCUUAUAACCUGCUUGAGUUCCUGUCCUGACUUCCUUCAGUGAUGAGUAAUGCCAUGAAAGUGUAAACCCAACAAACCCUCUCUUCUGUAAGUUGCUUUUGGUCAUGGCGUCUCAUCUCAUCAACAGUAACCCUAACUAAGAUGUGCGUCGUGUGAGAAAAUGAAUAUUUUCAAAGGUUCAUCUUGAGAAUAGGAGCCGUAUUUUCAACGGCAAAUCAACCAAAUCAAAACUGCCAAGAACAUGUGUAAUAAGAAGGAAGAUGUGUAAUAAGAAGCCACAUCAAAAUGUCCGCAGGGAUUUCCUCUGGGCUGUGACCUGGGGUUGGUCUGUGUCUUCUUGUCUUUUCCUUGCCUGCAAAUUUCAGGCAGGACCAUUUUAUGAGUUAAAAGAACGGCCCUAACAGUGAGCGCCAGCUGACAUGGUAGGAGGAGCCGUAUGCCAUAGGACUCUGAGGAAUGUUCUCAUGAAUCCUGUCUACCCAGAUUGCAACCUGAAUACCAGAACACAUUGUUUGAAUACAUAAUUCAAGGUCAACGAGAAGGUGUUCCAUUGUAUGAUUUAGUCAUGAGCCACCGCUUGGAGCAUCAUCUUUCUGCCAUUAAUGAGUCGCCUUCUACAGCAGCAGGAUUUGGAAACCUUUGAACUGUUUAGAGGAGAGCCUUUGGGUGGGUGUGUUUGCCCUUUUCUGUGUUAAAUUGCUUGUCUCCGGCAGGCAUUUCCCUAACAAAUCGAGUCCUGGUCCCAGUCUGGCUGUUGAAUUGGGAGCCAUUAAUAACUGGCAAUUUGUAGCUGUCAUAAAGAUGCCGGGGACUUUCCAGAUGGCUUUUCCCGCCUUGUGCCAGUCCCUUUGAUGGGAUUUUAAUCAGCAGGCAUUGGUCGUGGUCCUUGGCCCACAGCAGGGACAGAGGUCACCUGUUUACCAUAGCUUUGGUUUUCUGAUGAAAGGGCAAAGCCCCAGGAGGGCAUGUGCUGGGUAUUUUAGGAGCCAGGGGGAAGAGACACUGGAGUAUAAUAUGAGAAUGUAAACCAAACACAACAACAAAAAGUCCAAUUGAACUUUUAAAAUCACCGAGCUAACUUUGAAGGUAGUGAACAGAAGUUGUGAGCGAGCGUCAUGUGUGCCCUUUGGGUCUGACUCAACACACUAACUUAGCACUGAAGGAGUGCAGAGGAACCUCUCACACUCAACUCUGUUCCUCUCCCUGCCCUCCAAAGCCUCCCACAAGACCUUCUGAAAAAGAGAAUCGAGGUUCAAGAAACCCCCACUGAUAACAAACAGUCUUUCCAAAUAGGCUCAGGAAGCCGCUCCAUAGUGGGAUGUCAGGGGCUGAUCCAAAUUGCCGUCACCCCUGUAUCCACCAUUCCAUCUAAAUGUUAUGACCACUUUGCUUCCUACACAAAUUGGUCUUGCCAAUCACAGAACAAUCACUUCUAUCAACGACGCAAGACCCUCUUCUUCUAUACCCAAGACCCAUGGAAUCCCAGGUGGGAAGCGGGCGUUGUUGGUAAGCUCAACCGUAAGAACCAGUCUGGGUCUCCAAUAAGGACUAUUCACAUCCAGAGAAAGUAUGUCUCAAUUGUCCAACCUCUGGAAAUUGGAGAAAUAGGAGAAUUAAACACUCCUCCAAAGUUAUUACAUCCCUGACAUCCUCCCUCAUAAAUGGCACUAACUUGUCAUUUCACCUUCUGUUUCAGACCUCAGCCUACCAAUUCCUUAAUGUCACCCAACCUGGUCACUUCAAAGAUUGCUGGCUAUGUGUACCCCCUGGAAGUAACUUACAAUCACCUCUUACAGCUUCUCUAGAGAUGCUGCCACACAACCUCGCUUCACCUUUUAUCAGCUGCCCUGACUCCGAUGUUGCCAUGACUCCAUACCUUUUCUCUAUCUCUCUUUUCAUGGCAGACUAUUUUAGGACAUCCGGGACACACUCUGUAGGAACGCUAAGCUCCCUAGACUGUAUCAGAAUCAUAACCCUUGAUACCUCACCUCUGCCACAGUGCCCUGAAGACCAGAACACGCCAAUUCUCUCUGGUACUCAGGUCUAUCAUCAUUUACCUGCAAGCUGGGCAGUAGUUUGCACAUUGGUCUCUUUUUUCCAAAUUAGGAGUAAUCCACAGGGAAGAGCCGCUACCAAUCCUGGUGUGGACUCAAUAGCUGCCCAACAUAACAAAAGGGUAGUGAAAUCCUGUCACUCUUGGUCCGUGUAGGAAUAACUGAAGGUGUUGCUCCCGGAACGGCAGGACUGAACACCUCUCUAACCUUAUACAACCAGUUCUCUUCCCAGCUUGUCUGCAAUCUUCAAGAGGUGGCUCAAACCAAGCUCACUCUCCAAGGACAGAUCGAUUCCCUGGCAACAGUGAUGCUUCAAGACCUAUGGGGACUGGAUUUUCUUACAGCUAUAGAGGGUGGCCUUGGGUUUUAUUCUCCAGCAAGAAUGCUGCUUCUAUGUCAACCAGUCAGGUACAGUAAAAACCAAACCUCAACGACUCCAAAC